AGUUUGUAGUUUGUAGUUUGUAGUUUGCCACUUGUAUUUUGUAGUUUGCAGCUUGUAGCUCGUAAUUUCUAGUUUGGAUCCUGAAAUCUGUAACUCUUACUUGGAUAACUGUGGUAAUUCUAGAGCUAAUACAUGCAAUUAAAACACGGACCUUUUGGAACGUGUGCUUUUAUUAGGCUAAAACCAAGCGAUCGCAAGAUCGUUUUAUUGGUUGAACUCUAGAUAACAUGCAGAUCGUAUGGUCUUGUACCGACGACAGAUCUUUCAAAUGUCUGCCCUAUCAACUUUUGAUGGUAGUAUCUAGGACUACCAUGGUUGCAACGGGUAACGGGGAAUCAGGGUUCGAUUCCGGAUAGGGAGCCUGAGAAACGGCUACCACAUCUAAUGAAAGGCAGCAUGCGCGUAAAUUACCCACUCCCAGAUGGGGGAGGUGGUGCAGAAAAAUAGCAAUACAGUAAUAUUCUCAGAGGGCCGUCACUUGGAGCGACAACACUUUCAAUCCGGCCACGAGGACAAAAUAGAGAGCAUGUCUUGUGCUCGCAGCAGGGGGAAGACCAGCUCCAA
rnacentral:ncRNA from 1 species